UUUUGCAUCUGUGUAUUCCUGG
rnacentral:miRNA from 10 species